rnacentral:sRNA from 1 species
GCCAGGCGCAGUGGCGCAUGCCUGUAAUCCCAGCACCUCGGGAGGCUGAGACAGGAGGAUCUUGAGUUCAGACUUUUUUUUUUUUUUUUUUAGUUCAAAGCCAGCCUCAGCAAUGGUGAGGUUGCUGAGGUACCUCAGCAAUGGUGAGGUGCUAAGCAAGUCAGUAAGAUCCUGUCUCUA